GCCAGUGUGGAGCAGUGGUUUGAGCAUUGGACUAGGACUCCAGAGACCAGGGUUCAAACCCUGCAUGGCCA